GAUGAACGCUGGCGGCGUGCCUAAUACAUGCAAGUCGAGCGAACAGACGAGGAGCUUGCUCCUCUGACGUUAGCGGCGGACGGGUGAGUAACACGUGGAUAACCUACCUAUAAGACUGGGAUAACUUCGGGAAACCGGAGCUAAUACCGGAUAAUAUAUUGAACCGCAUGGUUCAAUAGUGAAAGACGGUUUUGCUGUCACUUAUAGAUGGAUCCGCGCCGCAUUAGCUAGUUGGUAAGGUAACGGCUUACCAAGGCAACGAUGCGUAGCCGACCUGAGAGGGUGAUCGGCCACACGGGAACUGAGACACGGUCCAGACUCCUACGGGAGGCAGCAGUAGGGAAUCUUCCGCAAUGGGCGAAAGCAUGACGGAGCAACGCCGCGUGAGUGAUGAAGGUCUUCGGAUCGUAAAACUCUGUUAUUAGGGAAGAACAAAUGUGUAAGUAACUAUGCACGUCUUGACGGUACCUAAUCAGAAAGCCACGGCUAACUACGUG
rnacentral:rRNA from 1 species